ensembl:lncRNA
CGAAGUUUGGUCAUGGAUUGAAAACUGGACCCUGCCUGUUACCAUGAAAACAAGCAUAAAACUGGUUGUCAGGGAAACUAGAUUCUUGUCCUGGUUCAUUGACUUGGCCCUGAGAAGCCAUGUUCCUUAUCUCAGCCUCGGCUUCCUCAUGAAUAAGGCACCAGUGCUUUCCCAUGAACUUUGUCUAUCUUAGGAGAAUCCUGGUUGGCCAGCACGAGGAGGAGAGGGAGCAGAGGAGGGUGAGAAAAGAGCCUGCAGCGUGCCCUUCUGUCUGAAACAAUGAACAGCCCAUCACACGAAGAGCUAGAAAACAACCCAGGAGAAGGAGGCAUUCUGCCGCAUGAAUAGGGAGAUGUCAUUAGCAGGGUUGCCUCCCCACUCUCUCCAGCAUAGAAGACGUACUGCCUGACAGCGCCCGAUCCUCCAAUCUCCCUGAAGCUGUCUCCUUAGGUCUCCUCACUCCUCAAGAGAAGUGGAACUUUCUUGGAUUGGGAAAGUCCCUUACCUGGGCCACUGGAAGGAUCCAAAUGUUGGACAGCAACCACACUCUGCAGGACACAGGUUUGCGGAAUACCUGAGGGAGAAUACGUUCUCUAUGGCUUCCACUGCAGGCAGGUCGAUAACUUGGUCCAGGCUGAUGAUUGAGGAGGAGUUUUGCUGACUUCUGGUGUCAUAGCCCUAGAGAAUUUCACCCCUUCAAAGAAACACUGAAACAAAAAGCAGAACAGGUACGAGAGGUGAAAUUAGAUCCCCCUGAUGGUGACCCCGGCCUGGAUCAAGAGCACAUGGUCUAGCCACAUGAUCCUGUCGAGCUGACACCAAAGGCAGGAGUUGGGAACGGUUUCCAGCGGAGACAAUGUUCCAUUCUAGAUCCCUACUGAACUGAGGGGAGAUGGGAUAGCAAGCACAGUUCUGCUCUCUAUGGGCUCCAGUCUCAAGGGCCAAAGGAAAGGUCACACCAGCACAUUAACCGUGGGAAGCCAUGUUGAUGCUGAUACCUGGGUCAUUUCCACCGAUAGCCUUGUAUCAUCCACACAGAAGGAAGACUUGGCGUCAGUGUAGACACCGCCUUAGUGGUUCCUCUUGUAAACUGAGCCUUGCAGUGCAGACGUGUGACCAAGGUUAUCCCUGGAAAGAACGUCAUGGGCCUCAGUGGAAAGUUGCUGGACAAGCCCCAGACUGUGUUAUGAAACAAACCCUUGUUUCCAGGGUGGGACACUUGCUGAAUGAUCUGUGUUAUGUGGUUGCAAGUAAGAAUGACAAAAAUAAAGCAUCCUUAAUUUCUGGGAAAGUCAGUGCUCGAACUUCAAGAAUGAGUUAUUGAGGGAGGGGAUGACGUCUCCUGGGUUGGGAGGUCUACUGGAGAAAGCCCAAUAGCUUUCCCAACUGGGGCCGCUUCAUCACCCCUGGGGACUGAGCUGUGUUUCUUGGGCUGGAGAACAGAAGGAGCCGGUAGUUCAUCAUGUUGACAGCCAGUCAUGGGGGCCUGGAGGCCUGUGUUCCCAAUCACAGGGUUCCUGCCUUCUCUUCUCCCACCAAAUCCUUGCCUGGGGCCCCUGCCUCUCCCUGGUGAGAUUUCUGCUUUCAAAUCCC